GGCAGCGUAGCGUAGUGGUAAGGAGCAGGACUUGUAACCCUAAGGUUGCUGGUUCAAUUCCUUGCUAGGGCA